CCACGCCGUAAACGAUGAGUGCUAGGUGUCGGGAGUCAAAUCUCGGUGCCGCAGUUAACGCAAUAAGCACUCCGCCUGGGGAGUACGUACGCAAGUAUGAAACUCAAAGGAAUUGACGGGGACCCGCACAAGCAGCGGAGCAUGUGGUUUAAUUCGAUGCAACGCGAAGAACCUUACCAGGGCUUGACAUAUGGGUGAAAAGUAUAGAGAUAUACUCCUCUCUUUUAGAGACAUCCAUACAGGUGGUGCAUGGUUGU
rnacentral:rRNA from 1 species